GUUUUAAGCCACUAUGUUUGUGGUAAUUUGUUAUAGCCACAACAGGAGACUAAUACAAUGACCUUCCUAACACCCCUACUAGCUAAGUAGUGCAUCGUUUUUGGUGUGAGGAAACUUAAGCUCAGAGAGGUUAAGCACCCUCAAGGUCACAUAGCUAACCUAGGAUUCAAAUCCAGUUCUGUGCCUGCAAGCCCACUAGAGCCUUGCCACUCAAAGCAGGGUCUGUGGACCGUGGCAGCAGUAUUACCAGCAACUUUUCAGAGAAGCAGCAUCUAAAGCCCCAUCCUAAAACUACUGAAUCAGAAUCUGCACUUAACUCACGGGCGCGACAAAGUUUGAGAAGCCUGGACCACACCCGCUUUAUCCUACGAUGCUCCCUGUUUUGGAAAUUUCCCCCGUUUUGAAAAAUAAACACUUGUUCAAAGUGACUGAAGCACUGCCAGAGGGUCAGGACCCUUGUUGGAAAGAAUCCUCUUCUGGGGGAUUGGUUAAUUUGUUUUGAUCUAUGCAAAUAUCCAACUUUAAGCUGCAAAGGCUGAUGCCCAGAGCAGCCUUGUUCCCAGCAGCCAGGCCUCUAAUCUGUGCAUCAGCAAGCUCGUUCGAAGACCCACUGCACUGAGGCCAACUGCUGGGCCUUCUCCAGCAGCUAAGCCAACAGGGCGUAGAGGCUGUUUGAAUGAUGUGGAGUAUAGACCAGCACACACAUCACCUGGGAAGCUUAAUAAAAUGUGGAUUCUGCUUCAGAAGUCCUGGUAUUUUGCAUUUUUAAUAUGCUCCCACCAGCUGAUGCUAUUGAUUGGUGGGGGUCCUCGAGCAGCAAGCUGUGGGCACUCCUGAGACCACCAUCUCAUCAAGGUCUCUUCUCCAUUUAAACCUCCAAGCAAAGGCUUUCAAAAUCCCGUGGCUCAUCAGCCUCACCUGGGUGCUUUUCGACAAAGGGUGGACGUCCACGCGUUUGGAAACGACUGCUUGAAACCACAGAAGCAAACACCUCCUCAACAAAUCUGCUCCACCUCAAUUCUGAUUUUGCACGAACUCAGUGCCACUGCUGGAAACAUAAAAUGCCUUCCUCCUCGUCUUGCUAAGACUUCAGACACUGAGGAGGCGGGACCCUGAGAGGGUGGCUGAGCUGCUGAGGGACACACGCCAAGACAGCAGAGAGCCCUGAGAAACUUAGCAGAGGGCCACAGAGCUCCCCACUACAAGGUCACGGACAGGCCAACUCUGUCUCCUCCUUGCUCUCUGAUCCUGUGCCCUUAUCUUGUGACAGAUACUAUUAGUGUGACUUCCACCGCCCCUUGGAGGGGAGGGCAAAGUGCAGCAGCCUGCAGGGACAAUUUACUCCCUGCAUAUGGUUGUAAAACACUGUAAAUGAAACUUCAAAGGCUUUGGGCAGCCACUGCCCGUGGAUCUGCCUUUCUCCAGAGCCGUCCUCAGCAGCCUGUGCAGUUCUGCUCAGAGGUGACCUCAGCACCCGUCUCUACCCCCCCCUCCAAUCAGCACUCCCAUUAAGAAAGCUGCUUUUAUGACAUCACCGGUGAUUAAACCGACCUAAUUUCUCCCAGGCUGGCAGAGUCAAGAGCCUCAUUCAGUACAGAAACCUGCUCUAUGGGCCUCAGCUAAGCCACUUGAGAAAAAAAAAAAAGACCUGUAAUUUGUUCUGGGAGGAAAAGAAAAAUGGUGUGCAGCUGCAGCUUGCCGCACGUGAGACGUGGAGCAGGAGAGACCCAGGCGUUCCACAGCCAGCCCCUCUCUCUGCUGGGGCCUGGGGUUCCGGAAAUGCUUGGUCCUUCGUGCGAUGGAUGCCUGCUGAGCAGAGAGGUGGUUUCUGAGCUCCUGAGGGCUGACGUGGUAUCGUAGUCACCUUAGCAUCUCUAAUCUUUAGUGCCAGACUGGGUAUACGCAGGAUGAUCGUUUUGAAGGACAAAUCUGAUAGGCAUGGGAAGUCCCAGACAAUACGGCUUCUGGCAGACUGACUUGCCUUGCCAAAGCUCACGACCUGGCUUGCGUGGCAAAUAAUGAAAGAGCUUGAACAGGGGAAUUCUUCAUGAUAGCAUGCUGAUUCAUUCUGCAAAGUAGUGCCUGAGCACCUCCUGUGUGCCUGGGGCUGAGGACGGAGUGGUGAACAAGACAGUGAAAACCCCCUCCUCAUGAAGCUUACCUUCCAAUGGCUGUCUUCGCAUUUGUGUUAAAAGGAGAGUGACGUGUUUCCAUUCGUCUGUGAAAACAAGGUGAUGAGUCAAUUUGGUGAAAAAUGAGUAGAAGAUGGUGACCUAGCUCCACUUAGCCAAAAGAUCUACUUCUCUGAAAGAAGUAUUUUAAACUUCAACACUAUCAUAUUCACUAAUUUCAUUACAGAUUAAUUUCUAUGGUAACAAGUUUACCAGAAAUCUCUGUGUGUACUUUUUUUUCCUUCAGAAGCUAUCCAAUAGCCCAGUUAAAAAGAAAAAGAAAUACAUUCAAUUCAAAAUCCCAAGUGAACUUGGACAACUUUUUUAGUUCAUUAUGAUAGAAUUUAAUUUCCAUGCUAUUUGGGACUCAUACUACUACUUGGAUGAAAAACAGUUUCCAUUAGAGAUAAAGGGCCUCUUCAAGAACAAUGGAAGUGGAAGGAAAAAAACCCAGAUGCUUGAAAAGAGAAGAGUUAUAAGCAGAUUGGCUCACUUUAAAAGGUUGAGAUGGAGAUUCAUAAAAUAAAUGAAUGAAUCAGCCCAAUCUGAUAGAAGGCUUAGAACCUCUGGUGGGAGGAACUGGAAGCAUGAUCUUGGACUCAUGAGGAUGGACUGCCUUCCAUCACCUCUGAAUCAUUGUCCCUG
ensembl:lncRNA